UACGGGGGGAGCAAGCGUUGUUCGGAUUUACUGGGCGUAAAGGGCGCGUAGGCGGCGUGACAAGUCACUUGUGAAAUCUCCGGGCUUAACUCGGAACGGUCAAGUGAUACUGUCGUGCUAGAGUACAGGAAGGGCAAUGGAAUUCUCGGUGUAGCGGUGAAAUGCGUAGAUAUCGAGAGGAACACCUGCGGCGAAGGCGGGUUGCUGGGCUGAUACUGACGCUGGAGGCGCGAAAGCGUAGGGAGCAAACGGG
rnacentral:rRNA from 1 species